ensembl:snRNA U6 U6 spliceosomal RNA
GUAGUCACUUCUCCAGCACAUAUACUAAAUUGAAACAAUAUAGAGAAGGUUGGCAUGGCCCCUGCACAAGGAUGAUGUGCAAAUUUGUGGAGCAUUACAUAUUUUU